rnacentral:rRNA from 1 species
UGUGUGAAUUAAUGUGAAAUGUAGCCUGCUUUGAACAUCGACAUCUUGAACGCAAAUUGCGGCCGUAGGUUUACCUAUGGCCACGCCUGUCCGAGGGU